rnacentral:misc_RNA from 1 species
AACUUUCAGCAACGGAUCUCUUGGCUCUCGCAUCGAUGAAGAACGCAGCGAAAUGCGAUAAGUAAUGUGAAUUGAAGAAUUCAGUGAAUCAUCGAAUCUUUGAACGCACCUUGCGCUCCUUGGUAUUCCGAGGAGCAUGCCUGUUUGAGUGUCAUGAAAUUCUCAACUGCCUUUUAGCAUUUAUGUUAAGGGUGAAGUUGGAGUUGGAGGAGAAUUGCUGGGGGAACUGAGGUGUCUUGUUUGCUCCUCUUGAAUGGAUGAGCUUUUCUGAUGGGAUCCAUAGUUCAGUAACACUAAUGUGAUAAUUAUCUACGUUAGAUGUGAAGAGGCUCCUACAGAAAAGGUGUAUCUUGGGGAUAACAAACCCUUGACUUUGACAAAUCUGACCUCAAAUCAGGUAGGACUACCCGCUGAACUUAAGCAUAUCAAUAAGCGGAGGCU